ACAGCAGUAGCCGCGGUAAUACGUAGGGUGCAAGCGUUAAUCGGAAUUACUGGGCGUAAAGCGUGCGCAGGCGGUUAUGUAAGACAGUUGUGAAAUCCCCGGGCUCAACCUGGGAACUGCAUCUGUGACUGCAUAGCUAGAGUACGGUAGAGGGGGAUGGAAUUCCGCGUGUAGCAGUGAAAUGCGUAGAUAUGCGGAGGAACACCGAUGGCGAAGGCAAUCCCCUGGACCUGUACUGACGCUCAUGCACGAAAGCGUGGGGAGCAAACAGGAUUAGAUACCCCCGUAGUCCCUGUCUCUUAUAC
rnacentral:rRNA from 1 species